rnacentral:lncRNA from 10 species
AUUUGCCUAUUUUUGCUCUUACCUAAUUUUUAGGAGGAAUGAUAGACAAACAUUAAGCAUUGGUUUCUCUCUAGAUCCCGUCAGUUUCCUCAAACACAGUAGUCUCCUCUGUUAGACCCUGGUGUGCUGCUGGGAAUUACUGGGACUCACUGGCCAGCUGCUGUCUCUUCUCUGCGGACCUCUUUGCUUUUAGGGAGCAGGAAACUAAUUCCUCUAAGUGUUAUACACUUGGAGACCCUUUAGCAUGAACAACGGUGAAGAAACAGAAGCUCUCGUUGCUUUCCUGCAUCAGACAAAAGGCUGUGGCCACUUAAAUACCACAUUUUUACUUCCUUUUUAGUUCAGUUGAGGGAGCAGGUGCAACCCUGCAGCAAGAUAAAGCUGACCUUUCCAGAAAUUAUGGAGUGGAGCACAAAUAUAAUCAUGUCCUUGCCUAGCACGUAGCUAUCUCUCAACCUUCCUUUAAUUGGGGCUUCUUUAUCCAACAAUCUUAACACUCCAUGAAAGAGUCUCUGAAUAGCCAUAUAUCAAAGCUUAUAAUUUUGCAUAUAGAAUUGUAUAUAGAAAAGUACCUAGCACAAAAGUUUUAAACUCUUAUUUUACACAACUUGCUUAUUAGGCUCUAUGUCCAAGGCAAAUCAGAAGUAGAAUUAAAGAGGAGUGGUAAGAAAGGCAGGCUUGCUGAGCCUGGAUGGCAUAUGAGUGUGAGUGGGUGUGUGAUUGAGUGUGUGUGUGUGUGAGAGAGUGUGUGUGUGGGUGAGUGCGUAUGCGACUGUGUGUGUGUAUGCGAGUGUGUGUGUAUGCGAGUGUGUGUGAGUGUGUGAGUGUGUGUGUGUGAGUGUGUAUGCGUGUGUGUGUCUGUGAGCGCUCAUGCGUGCACAUCUUCAGUCAUGUGCCCACUCCUGUACCAAACAUUUAUGGUCCUAUGUGGGAGAUAGCCUGCCUCUGGGGAAAGAAGCCAAGUCUUUCUUCAUAGUCAUUAUGCUCUAUGCAUGUGACUCUGCCAUUCCUAUGACUACUACUGAGCCAGGGGGUCUGUGCCUGGGCCAAAGGGCAGCCAUGUCCAUGAGAAAGGCCCAUGCAGAGGCUCUACAAGAGACUGCCCAAUAGCAGGGCACCAUAUUAGAUGGUAUCAAAUGGAUCCAGUUUCCUCCUCUCUCUCAGUGAGAAUAAAUGUGAGAUACACAGAGCAGUUAUCAUGGCACUAUUAACUCCCAUCAAGCUUGGUCCUGGCUUCAGAAACCUCAACACAGUGCUUUGGGUGGCUACUACCUGAAAAUGCAACUUAUUUGCAACCUCUGAUCUAGAAGGAAUAUAAACUCAGAAAAAGAUAGUCUAGAAGUACACACUCAUCCUCAGAGUUUGUCAAUAUCUGCCACAACUAGAGAAAAUAACCCAUGAGAUAUUUGGUUCAUUGACACUACUAAUGGUUUCAGUCUUGAGACACUUAUCAAGAUAUUAAAGUUAAAGGGACCAAAGUCAUCUUGUUCUAUGCCCUCAUUUUAUAGAUCAGGAAACUGCAUCAGACUUAUGUACAUUAUCAAAGCUUAGAACGUAGGCUUCCUGGUCUUCCUGCUCCGAUGUUCGUCCAUGCUGACCCUCUUCUGCUCUACUUAUCAUAUGCUAGGCUCAACGAAUCUUUAUCAUCUUGAUUAUAUCAUCUGUGUUCCUACAUAUAGACGUAUGGAGUACUGUAUGAAAUGUUACUACAUGAAAAUGAUUCACUAGUAAACUAGGACCUUUAUCAAUAUGUAGAUAAAUGGUACGAGGCUGAUAUGGGAGCAUCCAUCACUGACUACCAGGUUGCUACUCCCAGCUCCUGUCUUCACAUCUGCAUACCAACCAGUAAGAAGAGGAGAAGGAGCAAGGAGAGCACAUAACUUUCCUUUUAAGGACACAACUAGGCAAGAUGCCAUGUUGUGAGCUGCUCUGUGGAGGGGGACCUGUGGCGAGGAACUGAGGGCAGCCAGCAGGCAACAGCCAGCUGCCAUGUUGUGAGUAGCCCUAUGGAGGGGCCCACAUGGCAAGGAACUGACAUCUUUGGUCAACAGUCAGUGAGGACUUAAGGCUGCCAAUAGCCACAUGAGGGAGCUUGGAAGCAGAUCUUCCCCCAGUGGAGCCUUGAGAUGACUGCAGUCUGGCUGACACCUUGAUUGUUGCCUUCUGGGAGACCUUGAGGUGGGGGACCCAGCUAAGCUGCCCAGCUUCCUGACCGGCAGAAACUGGGAGACAAUAAAUGUUGGUGUUUUAAGCCACUACAUUUU